AUUUAUUUAAUAACAUAAAUGUAUAGGAGUAAUUAGUGAAACCAGUCUCAAGUAAUAAACAUUUUUGUGCUUAAUUAAAAAAAAUUAAUUCACCUAUUUAAAAUUAUCAUUGAACCAGGAUAAAAUAACUUCAAAAGUGUAUGCACGUCUUAUUCAUCAUCUUCUUUAACACGGUUACAUUGAGAAGCCCAAAAAAUAUUCUUUGCUAGAACUGGAGAGUAAGCAUAAGAAUAUAUGAUAACCAUAAACUAUCUAUAAUGAACAAGCACUCCAACAAUUAAUGGGGCAAAUAACUUGUCAAGUUGAACUUAAGAUCGGAUGUGAGAAACUAUCUCACUACUUCCAUUAAGAGUCCAGGUAAUGAGUUAAGAAUAUUAAAAGAUGCAAUAGAUAGACUUAUUGCUGCAAUACAUGAAACGAAUUAAUGCUCAGAGGAAUUUAAUUUCAUGGCCAACAGGAACUCUGUUUCCUCAAGGUUAAAAAAUGACCAACACCAACAAAACUUCUUUAGUGGCAUUACCGCAUUAGGUGUCCACUAAAAUAAAAAAUCACUACCACUUCCAAUGGCUGGAUCCCUGAUCCCAAGCUAGAUCCAGUUUCUGAUCUGACUAGCCAGUACAGGCCAAGGCCAGCCGAACUGGCUCUCAGCAUUGAAUAUGCAUCAUCUUAAAUAAGCUACAUCCCUAGUAAAAUUUUAAAAUUA
rnacentral:misc_RNA from 1 species